rnacentral:lncRNA from 13 species
AUGACGGGGAAAGGCACUUCAAGCGGUGCUUUCCUGGGUUGGAAAACAGUGCUCCAGGUGAGGCUCGAACUCACAACCUCGGCAUCACUCGCACACAUACCGCCAUAUAAGUACCGCGCGCUAACCGAUUGCGCCACUGGAGCUCCCAGCUCCCACUUCCGGUCAUUGGUUACACGGCCUCCACCGGAACCUCGGGCGUGUUCGCUCCGGUCGUCACAGCACGCGUUACCCGGGCGCGCGCCCCGAGUGCCGGGGCCGCCUCGGGCCCGACCGGGUUCAGCUGCGGACUCCACCACGGGAGCCACCGGAAUUCUCUGCUUCUUCCGCUGUCUUCCUUUUUGGCUUCGAUGUGCACUACUGCAACCAAUCCAAGUUUAA